rnacentral:lncRNA from 1 species
CUCCUACUCCUGCCAUAUGAAACAUCUCAUUGCCUCUUGGUCUUCUGAUAUGGUUAGGAGGGGCCUGAUCAGUGUGGGCCUGCUCAGUGGACCUAGUCAGUUGGGACUUGUCAGUGAGGCCUAUUUAGUGGGGGGUGGUCAGCAGGGGUCUGCUUAGAGCGGGUCUCAUUAGAGGGAUCUAGUAGUGCAUGUCUUGGUGAGUGGGUUGAUAGUGGUAGACAAAUGUUUGGUGUCUGGUCAGUGCCAACCUGGGCUGUGGGACUUGGUCAGUGGAGACCUUGGGACCUAGUCAGCAGAGACGCUUGUCAGUGGGGCCCUGGUCAGGGCAGGCUGGUCCGUGGAACUUAAUCAGUGGGGGCCUGGUCAGAGAGGACUUGAUCAUUGGUGGCUUUUGUAGCACUGGUCUACAGGGUGACCUGGUCAGCGGGGAUCUGAGCAGUGCGUGCCUGUUCAGUGGGGCGUAGUCAUUAGGGUCCCAGUCAGGGGCAUCUUGUCACCUCAGUCCUGGUUAGCAGGGGCCUGGUCACUGGCUGCCUAUUCCCUGCAGGCCUGGUCAGUGGGGCUUCGUCUGUGGGACCAGACAAUGGGGUCAUGAUCGGUGGAACCUGAUCAGUGAGGCCUUGUCAGUAAGGACCUCGUCAGUGAGGCCUUGCCAGUGAGGCCUUGUCAGUAAGGUCCUCGUCAGUGGAGUCCUGGUCAUUGUGGGCCUGGCAGCGGGAAUCUAGUUAGUGAGGCCUGGUGAUGGGGGUCUAAUCAGUG